AGUGAACGCUGGCGGUAGGCCUAACACAUGCAAGUCGAACGGCAGCACAGUAAGAGCUUGCUCUUACGGGUGGCGAGUGGCGGACGGGUGAGGAAUACAUAGGAAUCUACUUUUUCGUGGGGGAUAACGUAGGGAAACUUACGCUAAUACCGCAUACGACCUACGGGUGAAAGCAGGGGAUCUUCGGACCUUGCGCGAUUGAAUGAGUCGAUGUCGGAUUAGCCAGUUGGCGGGGUAAAGGCCCACCAAGGCGACGAUCCGUAGCUGGUCUGAGAGGAUGAUCAGCCACACUGGAACUGAGACACGGUCCAGACUCCUACGGGAGGCAGCAGUGGGGAAUAUUGGACAAUGGGCGCAAGCCUGAUCCAGCCAUACCGCGUGGGUGAAGAAGGCCUUCGGGUUGUAAAGCCCUUUUGUUGGGAAAGAAAAGCAGCAGGUUAAUACCCCGCUGUUCUGACGGUACCCAAAGAAUAAGCACCGGCUAACUUCGUG
rnacentral:rRNA from 1 species